rnacentral:lncRNA from 1 species
AAUCACUAAAAGCUCAUUUUUAUAUUGAAAUCAAUAUUAGAGCAUCAUUCUUUCCUUCAGUGAUUCAAACUGUACAAAUAGUUCAUUUCUAACUAAGCCGAACUCAACGCAUAAAGUUCAUUAAACAAAUUAAGCUUGAAAACAUAAAUAUUCAAAUAAUAUAAUUCCUCAAAUCCAACCCUUUUUAAACAUCUUUUCAAACAAGACUAGGAUUUUGUAGAAAUUUCGGCAGCACCUCCCCUAAAACUUGGACUUUUGCCACCCGGUUCGGGUCCCAACUAAACCGUUUCUCAUUCCUUUUCAACAGCUCAAAACCAGAAAUCAAUUCAAAAGCAAACUAAAUCCAAUAGUUGCCUCAGUGGCAUAUCUCAAGAAAACCAUUUCAAAAUCAACUCAAUAUCAACCGAUUUAACUCAUUUCUAAAGCUUUAAAGAAUCGGUUCAGCGAUAAAUCGUUUAUC